rnacentral:rRNA from 1 species
UUGAACGCUGGCGGCAUGCUUUACACAUGCAAGUCGAACGGUAACAGGCCUUCGGGUGCUGACGAGUGGCGAACGGGUGAGUAAUGCAUCGGAACGUGCCCAGAGGUGGGGGAUAACGCAGCGAAAGCUGUGCUAAUACCGCAUGUGAUCUGAGGAUGAAAGCGGGGGACCAGGCAGCAAUGUUUGGCCUCGCGCCUUUGGAGCGGCCGAUGUCAGAUUAGGUAGUUGGUGGGGUAAAGGCCUACCAAGCCGACGAUCUGUAGCUGGUCUGAGAGGACGACCAGCCACACUGGGACUGAGACACGGCCCAGACUCCUACGGGAGGCAGCAGUGGGGAAUUUUGGACAAUGGGCGCAAGCCUGAUCCAGCAAUGCCGCGUGCGGGAAGAAGGCCUUCGGGUUGUAAACCGCUUUUGUACGGAACGAAAAGGCUCUGGCUAAUACCUGGGGCUGAUGACGGUACCGGAAGAAUAAGCACCGGCUAACUACGUG